UCAGCACAAAAAGGGACAUUAUUUAGGUUUUCUCUGAACGUUGGAUACUGGUAAGACUUCUCUUUAGAGGGACAAUAUUUAGGUUUUCUCUGAACGUUGGAUACUGGUAAGACUUCUUUUUAGAGGGACAAUAUUUAGGUUUUCUCUGAACGUUGGAUACUGGUAAGACUUCUUUUUAGAGGGACAAUAUUUAGGUUUUCUCUGAACGUUGGAUACUGGUAAGACUUCUUUUUAGAGGGACAAUAUUUAGGUUUUCUCUGAACGUUGGAUACUGGUAAGACUUCUUUUUAGAGGGACAAUAUUUAGGUUUUCUCUGAACGUUGGAUACUGGUAAGACUUCUUUUUAGAGGGACAAUAUUUAGGUUUUCUCUGAACGUUGGAUACUGGUAAGACUUCUUUUUAGAGGGACAAUAUUUAGGUUUUCUCUGAACGUUGGAUACUGGUAAGACUUCUUUUUAGAGGGACAAUAUUUAGGUUUUCUCUGAACGUUGGAUACUGGUAAGACUUCUUUUUAGAGGGACAAUAUUUAGGUUUUCUCUGAACGUUGGAUACUGGUAAGACUUCUUUUUAGAGGGACAAUAUUUAGGUUUUCUCUGAACGUUGGAUACUGGUAAGACUUCUUUUUAGAGGGACAAUAUUUAGGUUUUCUCUGAACGUUGGAUACUGGUAAGACUUCUUUUUAGAGGGACAAUAUUUAGGUUUUCUCUGAACGUUGGAUACUGGUAAGACUUCUUUUUAGAGGGACAAUAUUUAGGUUUUCUCUGAACGUUGGAUACUGGUAAGACUUCUUUUUAGAGGGACAAUAUUUAGGUUUUCUCUGAACGUUGGAUACUGGUAAGACUUCUUUUUAGAGGGACAAUAUUUAGGUUUUCUCUGAACGUUGGAUACUGGUAAGACUUCUUUUUAGAGGGACAAUAUUUAGGUUUUCUCUGAACGUUGGAUACUGGUAAGACUUCUUUUUAGAGGGACAAUAUUUAGGUUUUCU